rnacentral:rRNA from 1 species
GACGAACGCUGGCGGCGUGCUUAACACAUGCAAGUCGAACGGAAAGGCCCUGCUUUUGUGGGGUGCUCGAGUGGCGAACGGGUGAGUAACACGUGUGUAACCUGCCCCUGACUGUGGGAUAACUUCAGGGAACUGGGGCUAAUACCGGAUAGGAUCUCCUGCUGCAUGGUGGGCGUUGGAAAGUUUCGGCGGUUGGGGAUGGACUCGCAGCUUAUCAGCUUGUUGGGGGGGUAGUGGCUUACCAAGGCUUUCACGGGUAGCCGGCCUGAGGGGGUGACCGGCCACAUUGGGACUGAGAUGAGGCCCAGACUCCUACGGGACGCAGCAGUGGGGAAUAGUGCACGAGGGGCGGAGGCCUGAUGCAGCAACGCCGCGUGCGGGAUGACGGCCUUCGGGUUGUAGACCACUUUCGCCUGUGACGAAGCGUGAGUGACGGUAAUGGGUAAAGAAGCCCCGGCUAACUACGUG